ACCAUGAGCGCAACCGCGGUCAGAAACUCAGAAGGAUUGUCCGACGUUUUAGGACUACGUUUCGGAAGUACGGUCCAUCGUGCGAGAGACUAUAGCAUUUGUUCGCGGGUAUGCGCAGCGACGUAUUUGUUAGGGCAACGGGAUGAUACGCACGAAUAUUCCGUAAACUUAUCGUGAAACGUCGGACGAUUUCUCUCUCGGCCUUUCCGACCACGACCGUGCAGCUGAAGCUCGGGAGACGCAUCAGAACACGUCGACAAUAUCAGAAAUAUGAAUAUAUUCUUCAAUAUUAAUGUACAGGAAAAGGGCAGACUCUAGUGGGGAGGGGGAUGCCUCGGAGUCGAAUAGAACCCAGUUGUCGGCCGGUCGUUCACACGCUUUCGAGCUUGCACAGACGAUGAACAUCUCGCUUAUCGUAUCCUAUCAGUAUAUACAAUUUAUUUUCGUGCAGCACCGUUAGCCCGUUACCAGCAACCGUCUCGCUGGACAAGUUAAACACGCUGGCUGCUGUGGCGAUGGUAAUUUAUCCUCCGUGACCAACGUCUGACGUUUUCACUGAUCUCGACUGGCGUUGUCGAAACAUUUUAAAACUUCCAAAAACCUGUCUCUCGCUACGUAAGUCAUUUAUAUUAAAUGUACAGCCAAUACAAAAUCACAAAUGACCUACGUAGCUUGUAAACAACAUAAAGUGCGUUAUUCAGUUCCAUGAUAGCGUUAUAGAAUCAUAUUACACAGGAUUUAAUCAUUUGCCAGGAAGAAAAUGGAAAGUCUCGUGUAUGUUUUUCGAUGUACCGUAUCUAAUUAGAUCUCAUGAGACCCAAUAAUAAAAAUCAUCGGAUCCCCAGAGAGUCGACACUUUCCUUGAACGUUCGAGGUCAUGUAUUCAGAUCUAGCUAAAUAUCCUCUCGAGCGCUGCCUCGGUAGCACAGCUGGCACUAUUGCUUUUGCCAAUCGCCGUGAAUCUCUGAGAAAUAUUUUUGAAUCAGUGGGCCAAUUGGAUAGAAUUAGGUAUUACAUGUUUGAGACAUAUACCAGAUACUUCCAUCUCUUUCCAGGUUGUAAAGAUUUUCUAUCGUUUAAAUAAUUCUAUCGGUACACGGGAACCUCACUAAGCAGACGAUGUUAAAAAACGUUAAUCGUGUAAUGAAAUUAUAAAAAUACAUAACAAGAGAGUCGCCGCUUCUUGCGUUCAAUAGAAUAAAUAAAUUCUGUUACUUUGCAA